rnacentral:lncRNA from 1 species
AUAUCUAAAGAUCCGAAGUGGAGGGCAUGACUACGAAGGCAUUUCUUAUGUCUCCAACAUCAGUUUUGUUCUUCUUGAUAUGUCCGACCUGCGUUCAAUUGAUGUAAAUAUCCAAAAUGAAACAGCUUGGGUCCAAGCUGGCGCACUUCUAGGCGAACUUUAUUACAAAAUUUGGGAGAAAAGUAAAAUUCAUGCCUUCCCAGCCGGAGUUUGCCCAACUGUUGGUGUUGGUGGACACAUAACUGGAGGAGGAUACGGUAACCUGUUAAGAAAAUUUGGGCUGUCAGUUGAUAAUUUGAUUGAUGCGCGCAUAGUAGAUGUUCAUGGUAAAAUACUUAACAGAGAAUCAAUGGGAGAAGACCUGUUUUGGGCAAUCAGUGGCGGGGGUGGUGCUAGCUUUGGAGUGAUAUCGGCCUAUAAAAUUAGGCUGGUGAAAGUUCCUGAUGUUGUCACUGUUUUCCGGGUGGUGAGGACCGUUGAAGAAAAUGCAAUUGACAUUGUUUACAGGUGGCAAUUCAUUGCAGAUAAAAUAGAUAACAAUCUCUUUAUAAGGUUAACUCUAAAAC